rnacentral:rRNA from 1 species
ACUCCUACGGGAGGCAGCAGUGGGGAAUCUUAGACAAUGGGGGCGAACCCUGAUCUAGCCAUGCCGCGUGAGUGAUGAAGGCCUUAGGGUCGUAAAGCUCUUUCGCCAGGGAUGAUAAUGACAGUACCUGGUAAAGAAACCCCGGCCUAACUCCGUGCCAGCAGCCGCGGUAAUACGGAGGGGUUAGCGUUGUUCGGAAUUACUGGGGCGUAAAGCGCGCGUAGGCGGACUAGAAAGUUGGGGGUGAAAUCCCGGGGCUCAACCUCGGAACUGCCUUCAAAACUCCUAGUCUAGAGUUCGAGAGAGGUGAGUGGAAUUCCAAGUGUAGAGGUGAAAUUCGUAGAUAUUUGGAGGAACACCAGUGGCGAAGGCGGCUCACUGGCUCGAUACUGACGCUGAGGUGCGAAAGUGUGGGGAGCAAACAGGAUUAGAUACCCUGGUAGGUCAGUC